AUUGAACGCUGGCGGCAUGCCUAACACAUGCAAGUCGAACGGCAGCACGGUCUAGCUUGCUAGAUGGGUGGCGAGUGGCGAACGGGUGAGUAACGCGUAGGAAUAUGCCUUGAAGUGGGGGACAACUUGGGGAAACUCAAGCUAAUACCGCAUAAUUUCUUAGGAAAAAAGCUGGGGACCUUAGGGCCUGGCGCUUCAAGAUUAGCUUGCGUACGAUUAGCUAGUUGGUAGGGUAAGAGCCUACCAAGGCGACGAUCGUUAGCUGGUCUGAGAGGAUGGCCAGCCAAACUGGAACUGAGACACGGUCCAGACUCCUACGGGAGGCAGCAGUGGGGAAUAUUGGACAAUGGGGGCAACCCUGAUCCAGCAAUGCCGCGUGUGUGAAGAAGGCCUGAGGGUUGUAAAGCACUUUCAGUGGGGAGGAGGAUUGCCAGGUUAAGAGCUAGGUAAUUGGACGUUACCCACAGAAGAAGCACCGGCUAACUCCGUGCCAGCAGCCGCCGUAA
rnacentral:rRNA from 1 species